GACGAACGCUGGCGGCGUGCUUAACACAUGCAAGUCGAACGGAAAGGCCCUGCUUUUGUGGGGUGCUCGAGUGGCGAACGGGUGAGUAACACGUGAGUAACCUGCCCUUGACUUUGGGAUAACUUCAGGAAACUGGGGCUAAUAACGGAUAGGAGCUCCUGCUGCAUGGUGGGGGUUGGAAAGUUUCGGCGGUUGGGGAUGGACUCGCGGCUUAUCAGCUUGUUGGUGGGGUAGUGGCUUACCAAGGCUUUGACGGGUAGCCGGCCUGAGAGGGUGACCGGCCACAUUGGGACUGAGAUACGGCCCAGACUCCUACGGGAGGCAGCAGUGGGGAAUAUUGCACAAUGGACGGAAGCCUGAUGCAGCAACGCCGCGUGCGGGAUGACGGCCUUCGGGUUGUAAACCGCUUUCGCCUGUGACGAAGCGUGAGUGACGGUAAUGGGUAAAGAAGCACCGGCUAACUACGUG
rnacentral:rRNA from 1 species